AGCCCCACGUAGGUGUGUGGGGUGAAUUYUGCCCGCUGAGUGAUUUAAAGGGCCGCAGUAAUUUGACUGUGCAAAGGUAGCAUAAUCAUUUGUCUUUUAAUUGAAGUCUAGUAUCAAAGAAUAUUUUCUUUUUAACUGUCUCCUUUAUAUUGAAAAGAAUUUACACUUUAGGUGAAAAUUCCUAAAAAAGCAUAAAAGACGAGAAGACCCUAGGAGCUUUUUUUCUUGGUGAUGUUUUUUCUAAGAGAUUUUGUUGGGGCAACAUAUUUUUUAACAAAAUUAUAUUAAUGCAAAUUAUAUUUUGAAUUAAAAUUAAGUUACCCUAGGGAUAACAGCACAAUUUUAUAGUAAAGCUUGUGACCUCGAUGUUGGAUUAGGUAUUUUAAUGCCCAGAAAGCAUUAUAUUAGGUUCUGUUCGAACUUUGAUGCCUACAU
rnacentral:rRNA from 1 species